CGGGCUGUAGUAUAGUGGUAGUACGCAUGCAUGGGGUGCAUGUAGUCCCGGUUCAAUUCCGGGCAGCCCGA
rnacentral:tRNA from 1 species